CUUUUCUUUCUGAUUCUUAAAUUUAAAAACAUGAACAGUAGUGUCCAUAGAGUGACCACGGAGGAGAGAGACAAAUGGCCUGUCACUACACACAUCUUGAGAGCACAAAAGCCACACUGGGGACUGGGCAGCCCACGGGUGUACCCUCCCUCCAAGAGCUUUAGCCUCUGAAAUGGGGAUCCCCAGAAGGACCUCAAGGACCCAGCCCACCUAGUGCCUUCUUUUGGGGGUAUAAGACAUAGAGAGUGGGUCUCACUGUGUAUCCUACGUUGGCCUCACACUCAUGGCAAUCCUUCUGCAUUAGCCUCACACAAUCCUGAUACACACAAGUGUGAACCUGCAUGCCUAGUUCUAAGGCCCACACCAUCAUCCGGGACCCAGCUCCCAGCUUGUUCUGCACCCUGCCCACUGCAGACUGGGGAGGGCAGAGGAGGUCACACAGCUCCGAGAAGCAUGUGUCUACCUUACCAGGAACAGAGACCUAACAGCCCCUACCUUCUGGCCCUGGGAUGCCUCUGUCACUUAGGCCACUUCAUCCCUCAUCUGUCCCUCUGGUUGUGAGUCUAAGGAUACCCGGGAGAUCCGAGGCCAUGACUCAGAGCCACAGCCAAGUGUUACUCUGCAUCUCUAAUAGACCAAAGGAGAAUUCAUGCCUAGGCCACACCCUAGGUCCUGAGAAGGAGGUAAAAGGAGUGACCUGAGUCCCAAGUGAGAGAAGGCAAUCCCAAGGCCUCUCCAGGAAUGUCCGAAAAUCCCCAGGUCCAUUCAUUGGGGUCUGCUAGGAUCCUCUAGUCCUACACAGAUGCUCCGAGGCUGCAAGUGGAGAGGGUGGGUCUGGGCCAGAAGCCAGGGUUAAAAGCACAGAGAUGGACCAGGCGUGGUGGUGCAUGCCUUUAAUCCCAGGACUUGGGAGGCAGAGAUAGGCAGAGUUCAAGGCCAGCCUGGUCUAUAGAGGGAGUUCUAGGACAGCCAGGGCUACACAGAGAAACCCUGUCUUGAAAAAAACAAAAAACAAACAAAAAAGUCCAAGAGAUGGGAACCCCUCAUGGGUGAGGCUGGUUCUGUGACUCUGAGUUUACUCAGGCCCUGAAAUGAAGGUGGGACAUUGAAUGCCAAGGCCACCAUGUGGCUCCUGUCUUCAUCCCAGGCCAGCUGCAGGCAAGAAGCUGUGGACAGCACGAACUCUCCCCCACACACACUUCUUUCCCCAGCAUCCCCUGGGCACCACCAGCCAAGGAGGGAUGAGUAUGUCUGAGUAGCUAGCCCCUUACCACCACUCCAGGCUCCUCAAGGCCAUUCGGGUGUCAUGGCAACAUGGGCAGGAAGCGGCUGCCAUGGCAACUGGUGUCCAGGGAAGUGUGCUGCCUAGCAACAGGGGCCAGGGCCACUCUAGCUCCUAACAACACACUCUCGUUUCCCACACUUUCUGUGUGGCUGUGAGUCUCUGCACCUCUCCAGGUCCUCUACCCAGCUCUUCUGCCUGGAGCCAGGGCUCCACACAGACCCUCACCCCAAUCCAACACACCAGUUCGCAGGUUGGUUAACGCGUUAGCACAGCUGACGCUCUAAGCAGGAACCAGCCACGCUGCAGACUCAGGAUUCUUCUCUCCUUCUGGACUCCCCCCUCAUCCCAGGACACUCUGGAGCUCAAGACCAUACAAGGACCAUGGAGACAGAAAAGGCAUCUUCAGGGCUGGCUCUGAGAGAAGCCAGCCUUCCAAAUAGGGCACAGCUCAAGCAAAGGCACCGAGACAUGACGCGGCGCUCACCGUUGGAGUGGGAAAGGAAAGAACACGCCCACGGCUCUGCCAGUGGCACCGAGUGCAGUACCCACGAGGUGCCGUGCCCAGCACUGCAAAACAGCAAUAAACAGCUAUGAUACUCCCUUA